UAGUCUGGGAAACUGCCUGAUGGAGGGGGAUAACUGCUGGAAACGGUAGCUAAUACCGCAUAACGUCGCAAGACCAAAGUGGGGGACCUUCGGGCCUCAUGCCAUCAGAUGUGCCCAGAUGGGAUUAGCUAGUAGGUGGGGUAAUGGCUCACCUAGGCGACGAUCCCUAGCUGGUCUGAGAGGAUGACCAGCCACACUGGAACUGAGACACGGUCCAG
rnacentral:rRNA from 1 species